CUGAUUUCAAGCGGUGGAUAGA
rnacentral:miRNA from 14 species